GACGAACGCUGGCGGCGUGCCUAAUACAUGCAAGUAGGACGCAGUUGCGAACGGGUGAGUAACGCGUAGGUAACUACCUAUUAGAGGGGGAUAACUAUUGGAAACGAUAGCUAAUACCGCAUACUAGUAGAUGGACCUGCGUUGUAUUAGCUAGUAGGUAGGGUAAUGGACUACCAAGGCAACGAUACAUAGCCGACCGGAGCGGGUGAUCUGCCACAAUGGGACUGAGACCCGGCCCAGACUCCUAAGGGAGGCAGCAGGAGGGAAUCUUCGGCCAUGGGGGGAACCCUGAACGAGCAACGCCGGGGGAGUGAAGAAGGUUUUCGGAGUGUAAAGCUCUGUUGUGAAGGAAGCGGUACUUAACCAGAAAGGGACGGCUAACUACGUGCCAGCAGCCGCGGUAAUAC
rnacentral:rRNA from 1 species